rnacentral:rRNA from 1 species
GUGCCAGCCGCCCGCGGUAAUACGGAGGUUCCAAGCGUUGUUCGGAAUUACUGGGCGUAAAGGGAGCGCAGGCGGGCAAGUCAGUCUGAAGUGAAAUCCCGGGGCUCAACCUCGGACUUGCUUCGGAUACUGCUUGUCUUGAGUUCGUGAUAGGAAGACGGAAUUCAGGGUGUAGCGGUGAAAUGCACAGAUAUCCUGAGGAACACCGGUGGCGAAAGCGGUCUUCUGGCGCGAAACUGACGCUGAGGCUCGAAAGCGUGGGUAGCAAACGGG